AUGACGACGCUGGUGGGCCCGCCGCGCGACUUGGGGAUCAUGGAGAGGAUGCGCGCGAGCGUGAAUGCGGUGGCGACGUCGCCCUCCUCCUCGACGCGCUCGAAGGUGCCCGUGGGGAAGAAGGGCAGCACGAGCGUGAAGGAGGCGAUGAAGAGCUUGGGCAGCGCGAAGAUGACGGAGAUCUGCUCGAAGAUGAUCGCCGGCGAGCUGAAGGAGGCGAGGAAGGCCACGUGCUGCCCCCGGAUGUCGUGCGCGUUGUUGAUGAAGAGGUUCGGGAACCCGUCCGGGAAGUUCCUGGCGUUGAUGGACUGGAGCUGGAUGGCGUCGGAGGCGGCGGCGACCUUGAGGGCGAGCUCCUCGCACUCGGCGCAGUAG
rnacentral:rRNA from 1 species